UACGAAGGGUGCAAACGUUGCUCGGAAUUAUUGGGCGUAAAGCGCACGUAGGCGGCUUGGCAAGUCGGAUGUGAAAUCCCUCGGCUCAACCAAGGAAGUGCAUCCGAAACUGCCGAGCUUGAGUACUUAAGAGGAUCGCGGAAUUCCCGGUGUAGAGGUGAAAUUCGUAGAUAUCGGGAGGAACACCAGUGGCGAAGGCAGCUCGCUGGGACGUUACUAACGCUGAGACGCGAAAGCGUGGGGAGCGAACAGG
rnacentral:rRNA from 1 species